rnacentral:ncRNA from 2 species
GAGACCACCGAGGGGGGCCCCACCGCGAACGGGGCUGAGAUACCGCUAUUCCGGUCCAUCCGGCGGCGCGGUGACCCUUGAACCUGAACCGGGUCAUGCCGGCGGAGGGACGGGGACCAUGCAUCAG